ensembl:lncRNA
AUUAAAGGAUAGGUACGCCUAAAUUGCUCUGACUCUUUAGAAAAAAAAAAAAAAUAGAAGGGAUUGUAAAUAAAAUUGGAAGCAGAUAUACAACGGCCGGGUUCCCACAGGUGCGCUCCUCGCUGUGGGAUAUACCCGUGUGAAUUUGCUGUUUCCCAUCGUGUCAGGGGAAACAAUGAAUUCUGAGGUUACCCCGCGUGCCUUCAGACGCAGCACAGAAGAAGUGACCUCUUGUCUGGGCAGGCUGAGGGCUGCAGGUCCCCCGCACCAACGCGAGGGGUUGUGCCGCCGGGGCUCACCGCCAGAUCAAAGCCGUGGGCCACUCACAAGGAAACAAGAGGGGAAAGCCCGAAGAAUCAGAGAAACAAAGGGAAGGUUGAGGAGAUAAGGAUCAGUCUCAGAUAUGAUAUUUCACCCAGAUCAGAGCCGGCGCAGAAGUUCAAUUCAAAGUUCAUAAGACAAAAAUACAAAGGGAGCUGCUGGAAGGUUUUGUUGCUAUACGUCUACGCUCUCAACGGCAAUUCCCAUCCUCCAGGUGACAGAGGUUGCUGCUGUAUUAUGCAACAUCAUACAACUGAGCUCGCCUUUUCCUCCAGAUCUCGCCCUCACCCAAAUAUGCCCUUUGAGCGUUUCUAGCAUCUUUAUACAACCGCAAACCAAACCCCUCCGGGUGUACCCAGCAGAUGAGGUGUGAAGCUGUGGGGUACCCAGCACAGCCAGACCCCCUGACCUUGGGAAAGGGACUUCUGCGUGCACUGAAGUUACGCCAGGGAAGGUUCAGGUGGAUACCUGGGACUUAUUUGGCUGAUUGAGGCUGUUUAUCAAGAAGUAACAGAGAGCUCUUGGAGAUGUAGAUCCUGUAGAAGGAGCUGGGUUGCAAACAGCUCCCUGGCACAUCAAAGCCUGCAGAGGUGCAUCCCACACCAUGGCCACUAACCCACCGCUGCCUGUCUGAGGCAGCACAGGAAAGUCAGCUCCAGAGGAUUUAUUUGGACCAUGGGGGACAACGGUUGGAUGUCAACACCAUAUAGAAACCGACCUACUACAGGCUGUGUUAUUUUCCUUAUUGCCUCCAGAGAACACACACCUUCUGAAGUUUCCUAACAUGUUGCCUCAUAAGGUGCUUUCACAACAUCCAUGCCGCGGAUACAUUAGCCAGCCUCAGCAGAGCAUAAUUCCGGUCUCAUAAAUCUUCCAGCAAUUACGAGGCCUCAUUCAACCUCCCCGUGAGAUAAAACAACUGCUGCAUCGUGGCGUCACAAUGGGAUUUUUCUUUUUUUUUUUUUAGCUUUUGCUUUCCAACAAAUCAACUCUGCAAAAUGACAAGUGCAGUGUGCUGCCUUCCACAUGGAGCCCUGGGAUACAAAACCAGCCCAUCCUUUCCUUAUUUUCUUGACAAAAACAUAGAAUCUUUAAGGCUGGAAAAGACCUCCAAGAUCAAUUCCAACUCCAACACACCCCCCAUACCCACUGCCCACGUCCCUCUGUGCCACAUCUCCGUGGUUCUGGAACACCUCCAGGGAUGGUGACCCCACCACACCUGGGCAGCUGUGCACUGCAGCACCACUCUGUCUUAGAAUAAAUUUUAGCUCAUAUCCAGCCUGAACCUCCAUCCUAGACGUCGUUGUUUGUCACCUACCGAGGAGAAGCAGGGAGUCCAUCUAGAACAGGAAGAAAUCCAGUAUUCUGAGUUACCAGCAUUGGGCAGUGGCAUCCAGGUAAGCGCAGCCAAAGGGCAGGACCUCUGUGAGCCAUCUGGC